rnacentral:rRNA from 1 species
UACAGAGGGUGCAAGCGUUAAUCGGAAUUACUGGGCGUAAAGCGUGCGCAGACGGUUGCGUAAGUCAGAUGUGAAAGCCCCGGGCUCAACCUGGGAAUUGCAUUUGAGACUGCGUAGCUAGGGUGCGGAAGAGGGAAGCGGAAUUUCCGGUGUAGCGGUGAAAUGCGUAGAUAUCGGAAGGAACACCAGUGGCGAAAGCGGCUUCCUGGUCUGCGACUGACGCUGUGGCGCGAAAGCUAGGGGAGCAAACGGG